rnacentral:rRNA from 1 species
GAUGAACGCUGGCGGCAUGCCUAAUACAUGCAAGUCGAGCGAACAGACGAGGAGCUUGCUCCUCUGACGUUAGCGGCGGACGGGUGAGUAACACGUGGAUAACCUACCUAUAAGACUGGGAUAACUUCGGGAAACCGGAGCUAAUACCGGAUAAUAUAUUGAACCGCAUGGUUCAAUAGUGAAAGACGGUUUUGCUGUCACUUAUAGAUGGAUCCGCGCCACAUUAGCUAGUUGGUAAGGUAACGGCUUACCAAGGCAACGAUGCGUAGCCGACAUGAGAGGGUGAUCGGACACAAUGGAACUGAGACACGGUCCAGACUCAUACGGGAGGCAGCAGUAGGGAAUCUUCCGCAAUGGGCGAAAGCCUGACAGAGCAACGCCGCGUGAGUGAUGAAGGUCUUCGAAUCGUAAAACUCUGUUAUUAGGGAAGAACAAAUGUGUAAGAAACUAUGCACGUCAUGACGGUACCUAAUCAGAAAGCCACGGCUAACUACGUG